CUGACAGUUUCAAACUGCAGUGAGGAAAUAAGGACGGCCCUGUGCAUUGGCCCAGAGCUUGAGCAACCUGCUGCCUGAUUGGCCCGAGGGCCAGGGGCGGGGCUCCGGAUGGUGGCGACCUGGAGAAGCCGGAAUUAAGUUACUCUGGGAGAGCCCCGCCCCCAGCUCGCGCCGGAUUUGAGGGGGCGGGGUCUUAGGGAGCCCCGCCCAGCGUUUGCGAGGCGGUGCUCAGUUCGAUUCUGAGGUGGCUUAGGGGGCAGAUUUUGUUAACGCCUGCGGAGCAGGGCUGAAGUCAGCUAGGGCGGAUCAAGAUGGUAAUGGGAGUGCCUCAAUCUGGAGAGCAAGUAAUGAGACCCUCCAUGUCCUCAGGUGACCUGUUGCUGAGACGUCAGAUUCCCCCAGAGACCCUGCAGGUACCCAAGAUGGCUUCACCUCUCCUACUGCCCUGCUCUCUGUGCAGCUCUGCACUCCCAGACCCCUGCCGCAGGCACUGCCACUGGUGGUCCUGCUACAUCAGGGUGAAACCUCCCGGGUCAGAGACACUAAUGUCUCUGCUGAAUGCAUUGGUCCCUGCUGCUGGCAGAAUUGCUAGAGUCCUGCCUAUCAAUGUGGACACUGCUGGUGGCACUGAUGUGGUAAAGACUUCACAGCACAAUAGGGUCAGUGCUGAAGUGGGAAGGAUCUGUUUAUGUCUUUUGUCUUAAGCUUUUUAACUGGGUUCCAAGACAGAUCUUCCUGGUGUUGCCACUGACUAGAGAGAAUUUAGUUAAGGAACCUUUGGUUAGCUGCCUUCCUGAUCCCUGUUACAUAGAAUUAGUGCUGAGAAGUAGCUGUGCAUGUGUUUAAAAAACGUUCCGAGCCCUCCACCCUACCUCUGAAUGCAGAGGUAGGGACCUAGUUUCCCACAAUGUGAACAGAGCUGAUGUGUAUCAUUUCCAGGCCAAGGAGUUUAAGAAGUAGGUGUACCUCCUUUCUGGUCUUUCUUUCCUCUCUGUCUGGCUCAAAGACCUCAGGGAAUAUCAGAAUAUAGGAUGGAAGGAACCAGGACAUCCACUAUAGACUCUUCUAUAAGCAAGAAAUGUAUUUUCUACGCACUUAAAAUGAUUAAAACAGUAAGUUGCAUGUCACGUAUAGUUUACUUCAAUUAAAAAACCUAUUUCUACAGAGAUAAGUGACUGAAAAUUUGAGGUUUAUUUGUACAGCAGCUAAUGUUAUCCUGAUUGUUUCUCAGCUCCCCAAGUUUGUUCUAUUUUAGGCUUCGUUUCCCAGAACUCUGGUACAAGGCACACCCAGAGUGCAAUAGAAGCAACACUCAAAAUUCCUCCUCCCUUUUCACAUUGGCCCUUCGUCCUUGGGAAAUCUUUCUGUGUCUGGACCCCCUUAACACUGCUUUAAAGACCUUUCUAGAAACAGACUCUUUUAAUUAUAAAAUAGUUGUAUAUUUAUUAAAACAACUAUAUCAUAAAUAGUUACAUAUUAUAUAACUAUAAUUAUAUAGUUAUAUAUAUAUAUUAUAUAACUUGUCUUUUCCUAACCCUAACCCUAACCCCAGGGACAAGACCCCAGAGACAAGUUGCCUGGCUCUGAACCCCAGCUCCUUCCCUUUCUAGCUGUGUGACCCUAGGCAAGUUACUCACCCUCUGUGUGUCUCCAUUGUCUUAACUGCAAAUGGGGCAAUAACAUCACUUACCUUCAAAGGUUCUUGUGAGGAUCCAUGAGUCAAAAGAUACUGAAUACGCAAACCUGCCUGGAGUACACAUCCCUGCUACCUGUGUUAACUCUGCUACUAUUGAUAAUGUACCUUACAGCCCCUCCAGUCCUACUUACACAUGAGUGAAUCUUGGGAAAUAAUUUAAAUUUGAGCUGAGCUCAUUCCUACGAAAUAGUCAAAUGUCAUAUUAAUAAUAGAUCUAAUUUUCACAGAGAGAGAAAGGGCAGAUCCUUAUCUUUUGGAGUCUUAACCCCAAAGGUCCUUGAGUAUCUGUUAUGUAUCAAGCAAUGUGCCAGGCCAUUUCACAUAUAUUUUGCUAUUUGUCAUUACAAAAUUCUUCAUAAUUAAACCACUGGACAAGAAGAAUACAUUCACCAGAAAAAUUUAAUUUGAUGAAAUGAGGAAUCAUGAUGCAAUAUUAACUAUUCCUACAUAUUGCAAUAUUGUAUUGUAUAUUUAUCUCUAAAAUGUAGAAUUAUUUUUAGAAUAUUAUUUGUGCUUUAGAAUUUUUAUUAAUAAGAAAAAGGCAAAUAGAUAAAACCAGAUCAGUUAAAUAUUAUUUCUAUUUCAGAAGAAAAAUAACAUUAAAAAAUAUGAGAUUUUGCAAUCCUCCUCAAUUGUCACCUGUAUCUGUUUAAGAUAUAUGAUACAUAAUCCUAAUAUUAUAUAAAGCAUGCUCUAUUAUAUACCUUUAAAUAUAUAUAUAAUUCUAUUAAUAUGAAAGAAUAGAAAGUUCAUUUUAAAAG
rnacentral:lncRNA from 1 species